AGGGCGAGAACGAGUUAUCAACGAAAAGUCAGCCACAAACUACUUCACUUGCUAGAAGUUGUCAGUUAGGUGUCAGCAAUCGCGUGGAAAAGAAACACACAUCCAUAGCUGAGUUAAUGGAAUGGCAACACUUUGAAUACCCCCUUGAAGAUAUGGAUAAUGAAGUGGACGAAGCUCUUAAAGCCGCCUCCGAUGUCAUAACUUUCGUUUUUCGAAGCGAAAACAACAAAGGCUGUGAAGAAGCCACCAAUAGUACUCCUCUGUAGCCAUUAGAGUCAACCUGAUGAAGUGGGAUCAUUAUUGCAAGUAACUGAGUUAUUUCUUUUUUUUAGACUUAGACCUUGUCCACAUUUAAAAGCUUGUUAAACUGCGGACACAGCAGUUUGCAGCGUCUGUGUAAACAUCCGGGUCAUGGGAAUUUUUGAAAUGUUAUAUAUACAGUCUGAUCGUUUUCUCUAGCUUUUCACCGGGCUAUACCCAUGGGGGAGGGGAUAAUAGCUUUUUGUACCACAGUUAUAUAAAGAAGUGAUAUAAUAACAUAAUAAUUAAAAAAACGAAAUUGAAAAAAUGCUAAAAAACCAACAAAUAAUGUCGUGAAUUUUAACUAUAAAAAAGUGAUUGACAUUCUAUUAGGGAAAAUCUGCAACGACGCCAUUUUGUAAAAAAUGCAUGAUGGGAGUUGUAGUCCUUUUUGGUGUCCGUUAAAAUAGUCAUCCUAAGCCGUUUUAGCUUUUCCUUUUCAUUCURUUAGUAGAUCGGCAAGUCAGAGGUCCAGCUUGCUCAUCAUCCACGAAUAAAGGAAUAAAAUAUAUUCUGAAGGACGAAAACAAAACGUUCAAUUAAAGCUGGAAAAAUGUAAUCAUUGCCUUAGUUAAAACCUUUUAUUAAUUAUUUCCAAGAAAAACUAAAUGAAUUACCAACGAAAUAUCUAAUUACAAAAUUUCCAGAACUAAUAAAACGGUCAUUCGUGCUUUGUACUGUGACAUGCCUGAAUAGUGGGGUAAUCUGUUACGUGUUCAUCCGAAAUAGCUAAUAGCAAUAAAACAAUAAAUAUUUCCAAAAGUCUAAAUAUUUAUCAUUGUGUUACAAGACUUUUCUUGUACACUGUGGGAUUUACUCAGUAAAGCAGGUACUUGGAUCAAAAGGUUUUAUUGAGAGAGACACCAACACAGAUUUCUUACAACUUGCUUGCAGCUUCUAACUCGUCUAAGCUAUACAAAAUGUGAAUCUUCCUAUAUAGUAAAUAUCUUACAAGCUGGAAUGACAGCGAAUUGGCAGGCUAGGUUGUAAUAUGAUUGGAUAAGAUAUACGUUUGACAUACUUAAGAUUGAAUUACUAAUGAGGUGUCCAACCGAGAGUGGGACGAAAAUGCUAUGCCCCAAGAUACUUUUAUGUGCAAUUAARAGAUGAAAUCAAGACAGAAGAUAGCUCUAAUAGAGAACUAACUUUCUAUCAAGUUAAAUUAAAGAUAUAUGUAGAAUUACAAAGCUACAAGGCUUUAAACUAGCGAAGGGCUUCAGGGGUGUGCCUCGACGCGUAAGGAGGGGUUUAGUUAAAAUGGGUGUAUCUUUUAGCAACAAUAAGACAUGUGGAAAUAUCCCAGUAAAUGAAAGGGGAAUUCACAUAGGUGCCUUGUAGUCUCGUUAUACAAUUAAACUUGGUUCAUGAUUCUGAAGUUUCAUUGAAUAUUUGAAUUAAUGAUACAGAUUAGGGAGAAGUGAAAGCUAAACAUGCAGUCACAAACGACUACUGAAAAUAAGAUAUUAAUAUAGACGUACGAAUGCUAUUUAAUAAAUGUUGUCUUAUAACAA